AGGAUUAUAGUUAAUUAUAAUAUUUGAUUUGCAUUCGAAAGGUGUUGUAAAAUUACAGCUAAUCUUA
rnacentral:tRNA from 1 species